rnacentral:lncRNA from 1 species
AAACGGUCCCUGGGCCUGAGAGACGAAGUGGCCCUGGCAGCCCCGGUUUUCCACAAUUGUCUCUAGAACCCAGCAAGAGCUCAGCAGCGGUUCCUUUCCUGUAGGUCUUGGGAGCAUUGCAGCUCAGACAAGCUCCGUGAUUGUCCACUGUAUUAUUUGAUUGAAGUCUGACUAUAAGUCAGUCUCUCUCUCCCUCCCUCUCUCGAUUUCUCCGCCAGGUACUGUGCUAAACUGUUGACACAGAAAACUGCUGAACCCUUACCCCAGCCUUGCAAGAUUUAUCUUCAUUGAUAGAGGCAGAAGCAGAAGCCUAAGUUCGAGCCUAAGUUCAAGUUAGUGUUGCUUCUGCUCUAUGAAGACUCUCUGGUCCGUCCCAAACAGGCAGGACGGAAGAGGGAGAAUGUGUUCUUGGAGAAGGAGAUGACCGGACAAGGAGGGCUGCAGGAGAGAUCUGGGGGCCAAGAGAGGCUGCAGCAUGGAGGGAGCAAAGUUGGUGUCCUUGAAUUUCAAAGGCAUGUAAAUAUCAGCAUCCCAACUGGAGGUAUGUGGGGGGCCUUGGGGAAUGUGGAUUUGGCUUCAGGCCCUGCAGGCCGAUUCUGAUGGCCUUGGGAGAGCCCUUCAACUGACAAGCUUGGUUAGAUUCCAGGAAGGUUCUUUGGGAUGAGACAGGGAGAGUUUGGGAUGAUGGCCCGAGAAGUCACCUAGUCCAUUUCCCUACCUUCCUAGUUCUUUAGCAGUGGAGCUUAGAUCGGGGUAAUGGUAUUAAUGGGGCUAGAGGGCAAGAAGCUAGGAGAAAGGCUCUAGGGCCUGAUGACCAUCACAAGCUGCAACACCAGCCGGCGCAUGCCAGCCUGGUCUUCCUAGGCUUGUUCACCUCAUUAGACUGCCCCAAUGGCCAGGUGAGGGAGGUCAGAGGCCCACCACCCAGCCAGGUAUUGGUUCCAGUAACAGUGGGGGUGCAAGAGCCCUUGAGCACCUGCCUACCACAUGCCAAGCCCUGUGCUUGCUUUAUCCUAUUUAAUCCUUGAGGAAACUCUGCAAGUUAGAGAUUAAUACAGUAUUUUUAGAAUCCAAGACAUCAUAUACCAUUAAGAAUAAAAAACCAGAAAUUUAACCUUCA